rnacentral:lncRNA from 1 species
AAAAAUCGUACCUGCUGAUUUUCCGAGCUUGAUGACUGGUGAGGAGCACGAACGUGAUCUUCCGAUACCUGAAACAAAGGCAACGAGGUGUGUUCUCGUCGCCCCUCCGAUGCUUAAGUCAGAAAGGGAAAUAUAUGCGUGAGGCUAUGUGCUGAAGAACAAUGAGAAACGUACCUGAAUAAUGGCCCAAGGUUCUGCUUUUAUAGGAGUAGGUAGUGUACUCCUAGUAGGAUUGUGUUGGUUGGAUGUUUUUAUCCAAGGGAAUUUCUAUUAUAAAGAAUGUCCUACUUGUAAUGGAAUUGUUUGACAAGUGGUGUUAGGGUUGAUGUAGAAUCCUUGGGUGUUUAGGUUUGUUAGUUAGGUACCCAGGUCUUAGGAGGUAUGUUGGUGGUGUAUGUCUCGAGGACUAUUCUCGAGGACAUUGAGGGAAUGUAAAUGUGUCCUCGAGGUAUCUCGAGGACUAAGGUAUCUCGAGGACUUAGAUGACCUCGAGGAUAGAAGAAGAGAAAUGAGGUGGGGUAUAGAUUGAGUCCUCGGGAUACACUCCUCGGGGUAUACCAAUAUUGGCAUAGUCACUGGCCCCCGUGCACUCGUCCUAGAGAUCGAGCUCUUAGGAUGGGGUGCACAUGGGUUAUGUCAUUUCUCGAACUUUCGUCGAGAAGUGAUGGCUGAUGAUAUAGGUCGAGAUAUGACCGUUGCAGAGAGUGGCUUGGAUUUGUGACACGUGUAUUCGUGGACGGUCGUAGAUAGCGACCUUUG